GUGCUCACUUUGGCAGCACAUAUUCUAAAAUUGGAACGAUACAGAGAGGAUCAGCAUGGCCCCUGUGCAAGGAUGACACCCAAAUUCGUGAAGGGUUCCAUAUUUUU
ensembl:snRNA U6 U6 spliceosomal RNA